UACGUAGGGGCCAAACGUUAUCCGGAAUUAUUGGGCGUAAAGCGCGCGCAGGCGGUCCCUUAAGUCUGAUGUGAAAGCCCACGGCUCAACCGUGGAGGGUCAUUGGAAACUGGGAGACUUGAGUACAGAAGAGGAGAGUGGAAUUCCACGUGUAGCGGUGAAAUGCGUAGAUAUGUGGAGGAACACCAGUGGUGAAGGCGACUCUCUGGUCUGUAACUGACGCUGAGGCGCGAAAGCGUGGGGAGCAAACGGG
rnacentral:misc_RNA from 1 species